rnacentral:rRNA from 1 species
GAUGAACGCUGGCGGCGUGCCUAAUACAUGCAAGUCGAGCGAACGGACGAGAAGCUUGCUUCUCUGAUGUUAGCGGCGGACGGGUGAGUAACACGUGGAUAACCUACCUAUAAGACUGGGAUAACUUCGGGAAACCGGAGCUAAUACCGGAUAAUAUUUUGAACCGCAUGGUUCAAAAGUGAAAGACGGUCUUGCUGUCACUUAUAGAUGGAUCCGCGCUGCAUUAGCUAGUUGGUAAGGUAACGGCUUACCAAGGCAACGAUGCAUAGCCGACCUGAGAGGGUGAUCGGCCACACUGGAACUGAGACACGGUCCAGACUCCUACGGGAGGCAGCAGUAGGGAAUCUUCCGCAAUGGGCGAAAGCCUGACGGAGCAACGCCGCGUGAGUGAUGAAGGUCUUCGGAUCGUAAAACUCUGUGAUUAGGGAAGAACAUAUGUGUAAGUAACUGUGCACAUCUUGACGGUACCUAAUCAGAAAGCCACGGCUAACUACGUG